rfam:Ornithorhynchus anatinus chromosome 3, whole genome shotgun sequence.
GGCAGCAUGGCCCAGUGUAAAGAGCAUGAGCCUGGGAGUCAGAGGACCUGGGUUCUAAUCCCAGCUCUGCCA